AUUGAACGCUGGCGGCAGGCCUAACACAUGCAAGUCGAACGAGUGGCGGACGGGUGAGUAAUGUCUGGGAAACUGCCUGAUGGAGGGGGAUAACUACUGGAAACGGUAGCUAAUACCGCAUACCAUCGGAUGUGCCCAGAUGGGAUUAGCUAGUAGGUGGGGUAAAGGCUCACCUAGGCCACGAUCCCUGGCUGGUCUGAGAGGAUGACCAGCCACACUUGAACUGAGACACGGUCCAGAGUCCUACGGGAGGCAGAAGUGGGGAAUAUUGGACAAUGGGCGCAAGCCUGAGGCAGCCAUGCGGCGUGUGUGAAGAAGGCCUUCGGGUUGUAAAGUACUUUCAGCGGGGAGGUGUUACCCGCAGAAGAAGCACCGGCUAACUACGUGCCAGCAGCCGCGGUAAUAC
rnacentral:rRNA from 1 species